rnacentral:rRNA from 1 species
AUUAAAGGGCCGCAGUAUUCUAACCGUGCAAAGGUACCGUAAUCAUUAGGUUCUUGACUGUAUGAAUGGUUGAACAAAAGAAAUUGUCUAUAUUAAAUUUUGAAUUUAACUAAGUGAAAAGGCUUAAAUAUAGUUAAGGGACGAAAAGACUAAAAACUUAACAUUGUGAUUUUAUUUAGUUGAAUUUGUAAAAUAAUUAAUUUAUUUUUUGUGUUGGGGAGACAAAGGUAAAAUAUAUUUUAACUGC